GCUGCCACCCCCCGGUGCACAUGUGCGAGACCGGUGCUGGUGCACGAGACGCCGUUUGUCUCUUGUUUUCGCCUGUGUGCGCAGCGGAUUGCAUUGGCUGCGCGGACCGUGUCUCUGCUCCUCUUUUCGCGUUCGCCUCUGGCACGCUCGUGUGCGCUGAGAGGUCGUGCGUGCACAUCUGAGUGUAGGCGGCGCUCCUCUUGUGAACCUCGGCGCACUUGGAUUGCGCGCACGUGCUGCAGGGCCUAUCGAGGGCGGACAGAAUUGCUCUGCUUGUGCUACGCCGCGCACACGCAGAUAGGGGCGGAAGAAGGGGGCGAAGCAGACGAAGCAAAAACGACAACAACACUAAAAGAACAGAGCAGAACAGAAUCACGCGUGCGCACAGGGUUGCAAGCUGUGUUGUGUGCUGCACGCUUCAUUGGGUGCGCAUGAAAGGCAAGUCAGGACGAUCGAUCGCCGCGAUUAGCGACGUUCGAGCAGCGGUGUCGCGAUUCUGCGAUGAGCAGCUAUCGCGGCGGCUGGACACGCAGCCCGUCGCGGAGGUGCAUCAGAAGGUCUCCGCGUGCGUGCAGACAGUGGACCCGGCGAUGACCCCCUACAUCUUCGGCUCCACCGCUGUGCUGGGCGUACACGAGCAGGGCUCUGAUGUGGAUUUCGCAUGCUUGAGCCCGACGGAUGUGCAGGAUGGCAAAGGCGCCGAUGCUGUCUCGGAGGUAGCGAAAGGAUUGCAGUCAGACUUCCUCUUCCGCCUGAGCGAGGUGGUGAAACGGGAGCAUUACCUGUGGGGUAUCGAGCUUGUCCGCCGCACGCGUGUGCCGGUGCUGCGCGUGAAGGGUGGCCUCGGUGUGGAUAGCGUGAGCUUCGACGUGACAGCCAAUCGCCGCAAUGGCGUGCGCAACAGCGCUUUGCUGCGGGCCUACUUCACCCAGUGCCCCGAGGCGCGCUGGCUGAGCAUGCUCGUGAAGCAGUGGAGUAAGAGGACAGGGCUGAACGCCUCCGUGGAUGGCGGCUGCAUCACCUCCUAUGGCUGGAACAUCAUGGUCGUCUACUACCUGUUGCGAAGGAGGCUAGUGACACUCGUGCCGGUGGAGUCGUGCGACGUGGCCGACAUCGCCCCGAUGCCGCCUUACAUGCCGCUGGAGACCCCCCAGCAAGGUGGCCAAGCGCUGGCGGACAUGCUGAUGGACUUUGUGCGCUACUACCUCGACGAGUUCGCCCCUGAGACUGAGGUAAUGAGCCUGACCCGGGCGGCGGGGGAGACGACGAAGGAGAUGCUCUCGUGGACAAAGCAGGCAGAAGACAUGGCCCGAAUCCGCGGAGAGAAAAUACACUACCGGUGGUGCAUCGAGGACCCGUACGAGUACGACUUGAACGUUGGCCGCAACGUGACUCCCUUUAAGCUCAUGCUUCUGCGGAAGCAUCUAGAGCGGGCACAGGAGACGGCGCUGCUACUGUUGGCUACACCACCGACUUCUGCGACGGCAAGGUCAGCGAAGUAACAACGGCGCGCUUGGGUCGUGUGGGCGUGUGCUUGAGCGUUGCAGACCUCUGCAAUGCUUGUGAACGUGCAUGCAUUCUUCCCCUUCUCCUCCUUACACCGAAUCGUGGGUGCGGUCGAUGGAUUGCGAGUCUUCAGAUGAUCAUUGCCCCUCCCCCCUCUUUCUCCGUCGCGACUCUGCCGACGUUCUUCUGCUCUUUACCCGCCUCUCCGCACAAACCAAGGCACAGGCACGAAGCGUGUGGAUGGCCGCCACAGCCGCCAUCUACAGCGAAAAGGCAUCCGCGAGGCAAGCACGCACGGGCCGGUUUGCUCCUGUUUUUUUUUCCGUCUCGAUCAUCACUGUCUCUCUCCUUCUCUCGAGUCCGUAAGCGAACCCGGACAGGCGUACACUUUUCUUCACAAUCCCUUCUGCUUCCGUCAAGUAGUACGUGGAUGGCCGUCCUGCUUGACGGUGGAGCUCACAAGUACGACAUUCCCCCCUCCCCCCUGCCGCCCGCGCUUGCUUUUUUUUUAUUUGCUGCGUGCCGGUGCCGCGCUUAAUCGUCUGGUUGUAUCUAUAUAUCUGUCUAUAGUGUCUUCAUCCGCGAGCACUCUGUCAUGUCUCUGUGCUCUAGACCGGGCGGCGAUGCGGUGGAAGAAGAAACAAAGAAUGCUGCGGAUGUGGCGGGCGUGGUCGGCGCAUGUGUGCACGUGUUUUCGUGUUUGUGCGAUGUGUGGAGCGGGAAGCGAGUGAUUAUCGAUACAAGCUACCUGCGGCGGUGGGUACUCUACAGACAGGAGAAGCAAAGCAGGAAAGAACAGCAGGCAAUCGGAUCAGUGCAAUAGUGCCCUCUUCGGCACAGCGCAGGCGUGUCUGCACUUUGACAGGGGGCAGGCGGGUGGAGGGGCGGAAAGGUCGUGCGCUCAUCGCGGCGCAGCUGUCACCUCCGUUUUUCCGCGGCGCCCUAUUCACAGCACCUCUAUCGGCUCUCGCACAUGCGCAUCCGCGACGACCUGUAGUGGCGAGUCUCUCGCUUCCGGAAUCCCCCUCCCGAAAAAAGAAAUCGACU
rnacentral:misc_RNA from 1 species